rnacentral:rRNA from 1 species
UUGGUGCCUUCGGGAACUGUGAGACAGGUGCUGCAUGGCUGUCGUCAGCUCGUGUUGUGAAAUGUUGGGUUAAGUCCCGCAACGAGCGCAACCCUUAUCCUUUGUUGCCAGCGGUUCGGCCGGGAACUCAAAGGAGACUGCCAGUGAUAAACUGGAGGAAGGUGGGGAUGACGUCAAGUCAUCAUGGCCCUUACGACCAGGGCUACACACG